rnacentral:rRNA from 1 species
GAUGAACGCUGACAGAAUGCUUAACACAUGCAAGUCGAUGGGGAAGUGGUGCUUGCACCAUGGUAACCAUGGCGGACGGGUGAGUAACGCGUAAGGAACUUACCUGCGGGACCGGGAUAACAGCAGGAAACUGCUGACAAGACCGGAUAAGGUCAUUAAGCUGCAUAGCUUAGUGAUGAAAGGAGACGCCUGCGGAGAGCCUUGCGUCCUAUUAGCUAGUUGGAGGGGUAACGGCCCACCAAGGCGAAGAUAGGUAGCCGGCCUGAGAGGGUGGACGGCCACAAGGGGACUGAGAUACGGCCCUUACUCCUAUGGGAGGCAGCAGUGGGGAAUAUUGGACAAUGGGGGCAACCCUGAUCCAGCAAUUCUGUGUGCACGAAGACGGUUUUCGGAGUGUAAAGUGCUUUCAGCAGGGAAGAAGGAAGUGACGGUACCUGCAGAAGAAGCGACGGCUAAAUACGUG